CAGUGGUAUGAGCAUGGUUUAUCAUCAGAAGGUUCAGCUCACAUCUUGUUUUGGAGUUGGUUAGAGAUUGAGGUAGCUCACAAGUGGUAAGGUAGGAACUGGAAGAGCUGAGUGAGCUGGGAGGGUGCCGGAAGCAGAACAGAAAAGAGCACCGUGAGCGUACUUGUGAGGAGAUUAAACUGAACAGGGCCAGGGCAAGGCAGACAGCUGAGAGGACCUGAGUGUAUUGAAGGCAAUGGACAGAGAACGUUCUGGAACAUUUCAGGCUGUAAGGGGUGACAGUCUUUGUGGAGUUUGUGCACACUGGGGUUUGAACUCCUAGUGUGCAUAAAGACGAAGGUCAGAUUUAGUUGGAGCGUGGGUAGGGGGCUGGAAAUGCAGCAGGGCACUCGGAGGGUAAACAGCCAUUGAAAACGGCAGAAAAAUGAUUUCACCUUUUCCUCCUUUUACCUUUGAGUAAGCUACCAUGCAAGUCACCACCUCCUCUUUUUCAUUUUCCCCUUUUCAAAGUAUAUUCCUGAACCUUUUUUUUCCCUCAAGACCAUAAGCAUUAAAAGCUUAUACAGCGUCUCACCUUUAUGACUCAACAGCUGAAGAAAAGAUAAACAUCACAGUAACAAAAGAAAGUGGUAGUUUUGUUUUUAUUUGCCAGCAACUUGUUGCUGUGUGACAUUGAGAGGCAUCAGGUGUUCAGUAUUUUCUCACAUCCUUUUCUUUUGUCUUUGCUUGCUGAAAUGUUGAGUUCCAGCUUUAUAGCUAGUGCCCUCAUUACCACAAAUAAUGAGAAUUUUACAUCAAAAGGGAGUAGAGAAAAAAACUGUCCCUACCUCUUGGAGAGGGUAGAGAUUGCUCAGAGAUGGCAUGGCACUGCACUACUUCUGCAUGCUCCAGCAACAAGCAAUGGGUUUCUGUCUAACAGAUUAUGUAGAUGUCUGUGAUUAUUCAACAAGGUUAACCUUUUUAUUUAUUAAUCACUCUCUAGUAGACAUUAAGGAGGCUUUUUUUCACUAUUGGUUCUGUUUUGUUUUACCUUGAGUUGAGCACUGCUUUUUUACAAUGAGCUGAUUUGUGGUUCCUUUCACUGAUGAGGAACAGCUGAGGCUGUAGAAAUGCAUGCGCACAUCUGUGUAGGUAUGUUGGAGACCGAAGGUUGGGACAAGUUGGUAGGCAAUCUUUGAAACAAACACGCCAGGGAAAAGCCUUGACAUGCAACAAAUAUACGCAAAUGUACCUCACUGCUUUGUAUGCACCCAUGUGAGUACAUACUUCUGUAUACAUGUUUUUUUUCUGCCAGCUUCUUUGGCUACAACCGUGUCCCACGACCUUCCAUAUGCUCCCAUGCUACAGUUCUCAGGAACAGAGUAGCUGUUAAGUAAUGGACUGUUCACAUACUUGAAUUGCUUAGAGCUAUGCUUCAGCUGUGGGUUACUGAAGACAUGCCUCCAUUAGCCCGAUCUGGUUUCUGUGUAUUUGCAAAGUUGUUAAAAUAUGACCCUUCACAAUAGAUGGCUAAAACUUUAGCCAAAGUGGAGUUCAAGAGAAUCUGCUAAGUCAGAUCAGGCUUUUAGGCCAAGUCCUAAAGCUUUGCAGCUUUGCCUCUAAAUGGUUCUAAAUGGUACACUUUAUUUCCUGGAAACUUGCAAGUUGAUCGUUGCUAAAGAGUUUAGACUGCUGUUCUAGCAUGUUCACUUGUAUGUUGUAGAUAUCAACAUGCUUCAAAAUACGAAGAAAUUGAGCAAUAUCAGUGUCAGCCCUCUAACCUAAUGUUGCCAUGUUACUCUGGACAGAUUCAGACAGUAAUAUAAUCAUUGCUUUAAAAAGCUCAUGAGAGAUUUGAAAGCGUAUCAAGGUGCUUGUAAGAUACCUGCUAUAGCAUGCUGUCAUUCUAACCUAGACGACUUAGUUAUGCCUAAAUCAAUCCCUGCUUAAUUUUACUUUAAUUUUACUUUUACUUUACUACUGCAUGAUUUUUUUUUGGUUGCUUACAUAUAAUAAUUAUUUUUUUUUUUUUAUUUGGACUUCUUUUUUUAAAGGAAGAAACAUUCAUUAUAUGUUUUCUUCUGACUUUCCAUUUUGCGUGUUAAAAUUUACAGCUUGUAGGGUGGUUUCAUCUGUGCCAUCUGCAUGCCAUAUUGUACAUCAGAUGGUGGGAUAAAAUCUGUAACAAGAACAUUUUGGGACGCUAAAGUCUUUCAGGAUUUGAAGUAAUGAUAUUCACAGCACGAAUGUGUGGAGCCACUCACAUAACUGAAAUAGAAGACAUAGAAUGCCAAAGCAGCUGCUGAGUGAAAGAGAGACCACACAGUUGGGGAAGCAUACAAGCAGCGAGGACAAAAGAACAUUUGAGGGAACAAGAAAGUGCAACUUCAGGCAGUGAGAAACUGGAGUCAAUCACUGGGAAUUACUGACAAGCAGCCAUGCGCCCACACAGAGAUUAGAGUCUCACUUUGGGAUGCAAUGUGAAUUAAUACUGAUGUAAAGAGUCAGUAUCAAAAAGGCACCUGGCUUAGUGUUUUCUGAUCCCUGACUAGGCAACUUCGUCAUUUAUUGUUGGGUUUUAGACAUGUUCACAGUCACAAAGUAGGACACCAUUACCUGUACUAACUUCUGUUAGAAAAGACUGCCUAAGAACUAACUAUGAUGUUAUAGUUUGUGCAAGGAUUGAUGGGGCCCAAUGGAACUCCAGAUGUUGAUAGGUAUACUUCAGUCUUGAGCCCUCACAAUAGAUUUCAUUUGCCCCUGCCUUUAAGUAUCUCUUCACUUUCCUUGAGAUCUCUGGUUUAAAGAGCAAUAGGAAUAAGAUCCCGUUAAAUGUACUAUGUUUAAUAUUGUGGCUAGUAGGAAUUGCCAGUUCUCCCCUUUCUAGCUAUGAGUGCAAACUUCUCAACAAUUUUCAACAACUUUCAAACUUUUCAAUAUAUUUUAUUUUUAGUGAAAGCAGUCUGUUCAUCUUAGAUCAUCCUGAACCAGAGCUUGUAUUUUAUAUUUGUCUUGCCUGUUACAUUUGCUGGUGACUCAACAUUUCCAACUUCAGAAGUCAGGUUUCAAGAAAUGAAACAAAUACAAAUAGCAACAAAAGGGAACUCUGCUUUAUUUUUUUGAUAUUCAUGAGCUAUGAAUGUCCCACAUACUGGAAGCAAUAAUUUUUUUCCUAGAAAUAUUAGUAUGAAGGUUUUAUUUGAUCCAACCUACCAAACUGUUGAUAUUAAGCUUUAUCUGAGAAAGGUGUCUGAAUUCCACAGACCCAGUCUUGCAGAUGUAAAAACUGAUGGCAAACUUUGCUUUGACUACCUUUGUUGGGGCCAUAGCAAGUCCCACUAUCCUGAUGGGUAAUUCUGAUCGAGCCUUCUGUGUAACUUUCAUUUUUCUGUGUGAAUCACAAUGGUCUCUUAUGAUUUAGUAUACCUUUUUCUUUUAUUAUUGUCAUGAAUUAUUCCUUCUCUGGUUGUGAUACUGUAAAGUUCUGUUGGGUAUGUUUAAAGUCGAGGCACUGAUGAAAUGGGCACAAUCCAGAUUAGCUAUUCCCUGAAGAAUGCUUCUUCUAAAUGGACAUCUAAACAGAUGUUUAGGAUGAAACAGAAGCAAUGCUGAAGAUGGGGAGCUGGAGUGUAUAAAAUUAAAUGGGUUUACUGCAGAAAAACGGUACCAUUUAGGGCAGAGCUAGGAGCAGAAUUCAAGUCUCUUGAUCAGCCACUGCUUUAAUUCCAAUGUCAUCUAUCUAGGAUUAAAAAGGGCUUUAAGGAACAUCUAGUUCCAGCCACCUGCCAUGAGCAGAGGCACCUUCCACUAGAUCAGGGUGCCCAAAGCCCCGUUCAUCCUGGCCUUGAACAUUUCCAAGAACGGAACUCUCCUGGUAGUUUCACUGUAGCACCAGUGGCACACAAAGACUGUUCCUUCCUGAUCUUGAUAGGAGUUUGCAGAAUGAGCACGUUCAGAGAUAAUCAUGUCACAAAAAGAAAAAGGUGGUUACAUAGAAGCUCUGAAGCUAAUCACUAGAAUGUCAGUCUCAGUGGGAAUUACAGCCAACUUCUCAUUUUUUCCAGAGCUUUCUGUAAAAUACUUGGUAUUGCAAUAUCAACUCUUGUUUACAGGCUCACAACAGUACUCUUCUAGACACAGUAGGAUGCUUUUUCCUUUUCUCAGAAGCAUAGACCUAACAGCAGACUGUGCCACCAAAAGGUAAAAGGCAUUAUCCUGCCUAAAUUUAAGUUUUUCUUUGAAAAGGAAGAGCAUUUUGCUCCUGUACUGCACAAGAGACUCAGUAACAAUGCUUCUCUGUAUCGUUUAUAAAAUUCAACUUUGUUUCAGAUAAGGCAAUGCAAAAGGGCUUCCCAUUUCUUAGACUGAGAGAAGUACUGUGAAAAAUCAAGUUUUGUGUUAAAACUGUGUAAGCUACCAUUUCUCAUAGCUGAGCCUUUACAGAGGCUUUAUGGUUUGGGGUUUUUUUUGGUAUACAGUUUGCUUUUAUCAUUCAUUUUCAAAAUUCAUGAGUAUUUCUGAUUAUUUAUUUAUUUAUUUAUUUAUUUGUAAUUAAGCUGUGUAGUAAAAAAGAUAUACUAGAAUGUGGCUGAUUGAAAUGUAAGUAGUUUUCACCUGUCUUUGAAAACACGGAUAGGACACCAGUAUUCCUCUACUGCUAAACACAUAAUCUAAUCAAACUCUAUUUUACUCUCUAGAGUGAAAUAAUCCUUUUAAAUAAGGCUUACUUAGAGAGGAGGUAGAGAUGUCUAACUUGCAGCCACUUGAAAUUUUAGCCUCAUCUGUCUUUACUUACACAAUGAAAGUAACUUGUCAACUCUGGUUUCAUCCUGUUCUGAAUUGAACACCUUUGGAAUGCACACCCUCUCCCCAAUUCUCUUCUUUGACUUCUAGGGAGCUUGAAGACCACACUGAGCCUGCACACCUCUACAACAUAGCUAUCAGGUGCAUGAACUAUCAAGAAUGUAACACUAAGUGUAGAAAAUGGCCCUGAAUCCAUUGUGGAGCCAAGGCGUGGAAACUGGGCAUUUUAAAGUGUCGCCAGAUAUCUCUGCUCCUGGUGUCUGGGUCCUCUCUACAUCUGCUCUGAUUGUCAGCACCAGGGACUUGAAUGUUAUGCAGAAGGAAACUGGAAAAUCACAAGACUUUAAGGUAUUGAUUUCCAAAUAAAACUGAGGGUGAGGAGAAAAGUACACUGUGAGUGGAAGGUUUCAGGAAGGAAAUCUAUUGACAGUGAGAGCUGAAAGUGGAUGCUAGGAGUGGCUUAUAAAAUCCUUCAAGAGAUACUACAAGGGAGGGAACCAGAAAUUAAUGAAAUUGUUUUUGCCAUGUGUGGAUGGACAAGAAAUGGAGACGGGCAAACACAGCACUUGUUACUGGUUGAAACAGUCUUCUCUGGCUUCAUCAAAUGCUUUGGCCUACUACCUGUUCUUUUCACUGCCAGCUGACUGGGAGUAGUGCUUCCAUUCACAACCUAUCUGGUUUCACUGGAGUGGGGUUGCUGAGCAAGGAGUUGGACCAAAAGCAAGCUGAAGAAUGUGAGGCCACCUCCCCGCAAAGAAGCUUGUCCUUCAUCACAUCAUGAUUGAGCACUCCCCUUCCUACUGCAAGCACUUACCUGCUGGGGAACAAGAAGGGAAAUUCCACCAGGAAGCUAGGGAAGAAAGACUUCAGUGCCUCUGGCUGCCCAGAGAGACCAAUGAUUCCCCAUCCGGGGGCACAUUUAGAGCUCGGCCCUGGUCUGAGCAGAGGGGCUGGAGUAGGUGCUCUCCCUUUCUUCUUUCAGUAAGCAACUGUGUACGGCCUCAGUAAAGAAGAUGGGACAGUUUUAGGUGCUUUCAGCUUCCCAGCAAUAUCAACUCUGCUGUUGUAGCUAACAUGAAAAAACUAACAACAAUGAAGUGUGAAGAUGUGGAUGGCUUGCAUAGAUGUAAAUACACAGACACACAGAAGCACUGGCUUUACCUGCUCUGUGGGAAAGCAGUCCAACAGCAAAAUGUGAGGGCGGAGGGAGGGGUGCUUGAGGUUGAAGAAACUCUUGGAAAAAGCACAAAUUCUUAACAGAUUUUGUUUCCAAGAUGCUUGUAUGGAGCCACUGUAGCAAAACAAGCAAGCCUGAAUGAAUGGAAGGCAAUGUAACAGGCACUGAGUGCUGGUUGCACUACUCAGUUACAUGCUCACCCCUUUCUCCCUGCUUCUCCUUUCCUGGGAGUGCCAGAGGGACUAAAUAAAUGGGGGGCAAACUUUAUAAUGUCUUUUACUGUGCUAUUUUCAGAAUUCCAAUUAAAAACAUCUUCAAACAUUAAUUCUGGACCUCAGAAAUAUAUAAAGGUUUACAUAUUUAGGAUGACUAUUGUAAAGGGCAUGAUUUCCAUCCAAGGGGAAAGAUUUGCAGACCCUGACUUCACGUGUACUUAGUUACACCUAUGAACAAAAUUCAGGUACAUUGAAUGGUUCCAGGAAAAAAAAUCUGAUACUUCUCAGAAAACAGUCUUUCAGAUAAAAUAAAAACCCUUUGCUUUCUCAAAUUGUAUCAUGCUAGCCCCUAAUUUACACCACUUUCUUGGCCAUAAGUGAAGUCCCUUGGAGCAUCAGAAGUGCCUUCUCAUGUGCUCUGUCUGGGUUUUGUGCAGCAGGAUUAAACCAACUUUUCCCCUGGUCAUUCAACAACAUCCUGAGCCCAGGAGAACUAGACCCAGUAUUUCAGCAUCGUGGUGAGGUUCUCUGUUAACCCAGCUCCUGUCUCCUCUGCCUGCAUAUCUGAAGAUUUCAUCAUCAUUUAGGUCCCUCUUGCAGUGGGAGUUUCUGUUCAGCUCCUAUGUCCUUCUUUUCUGAAUCAUUUCCAGAGCUUCAGAAUCUAGUUUCCAUCUUACUGCGGUGGCAUUCAUUCUCUGUUUCUAGACAUAGAGCUUCAUGUUUACCUGUAAUAAACUAAUACAUCACAUGCUUGCUUUCUGUUUAGUGCUGAUUACAUCAGUGACCUAUUUUCAUUUCAGUUCCUCUGGUAUUCAUGUCUGUGGCAAUAUGAUGGCUUUGUUUUCUUCUGUAUCACAAAUUAAAAUGGGCAUUGGCCAGUAAACAACUCCCAUGGUGCUCCCCUCCUUAACACCCCUCUGGUCAAUGGCUCAUUGUGUCACAUUCAGAUUAAAAAUUGGGUUAACCAGUUUCUGAACCAUCCAGUCAAUUAAUUUUCUACAACUUCUUGGCCAAAUAAUUGUGCACAACAAAAGCCUCGUGCUUUAUAGGCAUUUACUAUAUGAACAGAACUGUUUUUAUGAAGUAAGCUCUUACUCCUCAUAGCACGUUAGCUCAGCAUAAUCUACUUUCUGUAAAUCCAUGCCAGUUGGCAUAAAUAGCCUCUAUUUCUUUUUAUUUUGUGAUCUAAUAACACAGGCAUUUUGGCCAACAUUCUUGUUAGACUAUGAACAUCCAUAGGCUCAUAGCCAGCAUAAUGGUGAAUAGUCCAUAGCCUGAAAUGGCCUGGGCUCUCUUGCACACCUUUCAAAACACUGUUCCAGGGUGCCCUUCUUUCUCCGUCCCUGGAGAUCCCUUAGACUUCCAGUUCUUCUGAAAGUGGCAUUUAGUGGCUCACAGUGUUCUUCAGUAAGCUGUUUGAAACUUCAAGGAUACUAAUGGUACAAGUUUUCCAAUUUUAGGAUGCCUGAUAGCAGCAGCUGUUGUUUGAGCCUUUUGAGGCAUCUGCUUUCUCACCAGCCAUGUGGCCAGACAUAGCUUGCUUUUUUCAACCAUCUCAGUGGAUUAAGAUGCAUGCAGCACACUGCAUUGCAUUGCACUAUUGCUCAGCCCAUACAUGUGGGUAUGAAGCAAGUCUUCCUGAGGCCUCACUGCCUCCGUAGCUCACCUGAGAGAGAUUCCAGUUGAAGAGAUUCUUAAACAACAAAACUGGAUCUCUGUUUGCUUCGACCAAUCAUGAGUCACUGUAGUUGGCAUUAAGUGCCAGCACUACAUUCAGUACAGCAGGGCUGCCAUUCAUCUUUUCCCACUUCUCUUCAUCCACUGCUCUUGGAAUGGGACAUUGUCAGCCAAUGCCAGCAGUGAGAUCUUUGGCAGCCACGAGGUUGGAUCACCACUGGCUGCCCUUCUUGGCCGGCUCCAUAUGGAAAUGCUAGAGUGAGGGUGACUGGAUGCUCUCAUAAGCAAGCAGCACCAAGGAUGUCCUAAUCCCACAAAAGAUUUCCAGUUCACAUAAGUGCAUGAUUUUUAAAAAGACAUAUAAUGGCUUUAGAAUGGAAUGGAAUGGGAUAGGAUAGGAUAGGAUAGGAUAGGAUAGGAUAGGAUAGGACAGAGUAGUGUAGUGUAGUCUUCAAAGAUCAUCACAUCGAACCACCGUGCAGUUCAAAAAGCUAAAG